rnacentral:snRNA from 1 species
AUCGCUUCUUGGCCUUUUGGCUAAGAUCAAGUGAAGAGUAUUGAGACAUUUUAAUUUUUUUUUUUUUUAAGAAAUAACCCAU